ensembl:lncRNA
GAGAACUUGCAGAAGGAAGGUGGAAUGGCAUCAGAUUAGAUGAAGAAGAGAACAAGGUAGUCAGUGAGGAAUAGGCACCACCUGGAGAAGGUGCAUCCGUGCUGAAUAACUGACCUGUGCUGGGAUGCUGGACAUGGCCAUGUGCAGAAAGCAGCUGCCUAUGAAAAUUUACCUGGGUAAGUGGGACACAGAAGGAAAAAUGAUGUACAAUGAAAACUGGAAGGAUUUCCAAGGAAAGAAAGAAUGACAGAGCCUGUAGAUGAAGACAUACCUGCAUGUUAAUGAGUAAAAAUCUGACCAGCAGUGAUCUUGUUAGAGAGAUAUGUAGACAAACAGUACUCUUCAAAUGUCAGGAGAGUUUGGAUUCAUCACCUAUCCCACUGCCCUGAGACCAAGAUCAGAAGUGAUUUCAUUCAUGAAGCCUCACUGCCAGAGCUCGUUAGUGAAGUGUGACAACAAGAGAAUAGAAAAAGAAAGAAAGAAAUCCCUCAAAGGGAAAGAGAAAAAGAAGGAAAAAGAAGGCAAAGAAGGCAAACCUGAUAUUCCGUCAGAGAGAAGCGCACUGGUGUUCCGAUCGGUAGUGACAGGACGAUCCUGAGUGAACAGAAGAUGAAUCAGUGGGUCUCGGAUAGAGCUGCCAACGGUGCCUUCUGCCUUCCAACUUGGAGGCCAGUUAGGUAUUUCCAGGGAAGCUCUACAAUUUCCAGGUGAAGGACUCACACUGAGCUUGAGCUUAUUGCCUUGAGCUGACUCCUGCUGCCCCUCCAGUGCUCAGGUGUGUGUCACAGAACUUCUUUGAAUGGACUGUAAACAAGAAAGGAAAUUGCCAGUUAACUAAUCUCAGUCAAAACUUAUCCUUGCUGAAAUACAAACUGAGCCACCUGCAAUGGGCACCAAAUUAGCCAUAAGAGUCCCCUGGAGCUUUAGAUGCUUCUCAUGUGCCCUUUUCUGCAGCGUUUCCACAUGCCUGUUAUUUCAGCUGCUAUUCACUGCUGCAGAAUCUGAGUCCUCAGGUCAGGGGAAAUUUGUCAUUACCAUGAGGACAGGGACAGGCUUCAAAAGCUGUUGUUGAUUUUCAAAUUAAAAAAUCCUUAUUAGCAGGAAAAAAGAAGAAAAGUUGAAACUUGUAAACAGAAAGCAGUAAGAGGAGAAUCACGUGUCUUUUGAUCAUGAUUAUGCUUUCAGAAGCAUAUUGCCAUAAUGAAGGGAUAAUUACUAGCUAUGCUGGGUUCUGUUUUCACACAUUUAUGACGAAUAGGCAUGGGAGCGGGCAGGUUGUCACUGAUUUUAGGCAAAGCUGUUCAGUAGGCACAAAGGAACUUAAACACCAAUAGGAAACAGUUCAGCCUCCAUAGCCUGCCUUUGUGUUUCCAGCAGGACUAAAUUUACUGACCAGCAGCAAAAACAGAGUGUGGAGUUGCAUCAGCAGUGUCCAGUCAUUGUAUGUGACAGUAAAAUAGUAAGUGUUAAAAUACCAGAAGCCUCAAACCAAGCAGCAGCAGUGUCAAAAAACUUUGUAUUAACUUAGCUGCCUUCUUGAACAUGUGCACAGAAUAUGAAGCCUUUCACCCAAAUCUAAGGGGUCUUGCAGUUCUGUAGUUCUCCAUCACAAUGCCUCCAGACUUUGGCAGAGUAACUAUCUUUUGAGGGACAGCACUGGACAGCAAUGCUUCCGUAGAUAAAAAACUUUCAGCUCUUGCUCUCACUACAGUCCUUCAAUACUGAAAGGCAUGUCCUCUCUACAACAUUGCUCUCUCCAGCUUCAUGAAAGGAGGUUGUGAUGAGGUGGGUGUGGGUCUCUUCUCUCAGGUAACAAGUGAUAGGAUGAUAGAGAAUGGCCUCAAGUUGUGCUGGAGGGUGUGAGGAGGUCAGGUUGGAUAUUGGGAAGAACUUCUCAGAAGGAGUGAUGAGGCAUUGGAACAGGCUGCCCAGGGAGGUGGUGGAGUCACUCCCAGGAUGUGAGAACCACAGAGAUGUAGCACCAAGGGACAUGGUUAGUGGGCAGUAUUGGUGGUACUUGGACAGUUGGACUAGAUGAUCUUAGUGGUCUUUUUCAACCUUAAGGAUUCCAUGAUGCUCAUACUGCUGCUGAGCACAUUUGAAGGCCACUGAAAAUCAAGCUCACACCUCCCUGUAAAACCAGAACCUAAUUUUCAGUCCUGUAAUUAGCACUGGAUAGCCUCCGUGUGUAACUGGAAAUGCAUGUUUUCCCCUGUGGGUUAAAAUCACUGAGGCUGACUAUUUUCAAGCAUGUACAUCACAUGAUCAGUCUUAUAGAUUCGUUCCAGAUUGUUUUGCUUAUUACCAUUCCAGGUGGCUAUGAGUUAAUUAGCAAGCUAUGUGUUUCAGGGUGCACUAUAGCCAUACAUAAAUAAAUCAUUAUUGAAUACAGAGUGCA